UACGUAGGGUGCAAGCGUUGUCCGGAAUUAUUGGGCGUAAAGAGCUCGUAGGCGGUUUGUCGCGUCUGCUGUGAAAACCCGAGGCUCAACCUCGGGCCUGCAGUGGGUACGGGCAGACUAGAGUGCGGUAGGGGAGAUUGGAAUUCCUGGUGUAGCGGUGGAAUGCGCAGAUAUCAGGAGGAACACCGGUGGCGAAGGCGGGUCUCUGGGCCGAUACUGACGCUGAGGAGCGACAGCGUGGGGAGCAAACAGG
rnacentral:rRNA from 1 species